CCCUGACCCCCGAUUUGAGAUUCUAGUGAAUUAGCAAAAUGAGUUUCCCAUGCCAAAAAUCGGGACCCCUUCUUCGGAUCAUAUCUAUCCUAGAGAAACCGAAAAUCCCCAAUCAAUUCAAAAAGAAAAGAAACACAAGUUCUGGGCAAAAUCUAUUGAUUCCUAUCCUCAAAAUCUCCUCCGGGAAAAAAUCUCCGGUUGAUGUUCGUCAGCCUCGCUCGAUCUCUCUCUCCUCUUCGAAGAUUUCAAUCCAGAUUUGCAGCCCCGGCCCCUGUUUAUCAUAGCCCCCAUUCCAAUUCUGGAAUCUCAAAUUGCCGAAGACACAUCCCGCAAUCGAAACUCCCAACAUAAAUCGUCACUCCCUCUCGUAAAAACCCCAAAGAUUUCCCAAUCUUCACCACCAAAAAUCCGAAGCCCUCAUCAUAUCUCUACAACAUAUCUGAAAAAGGGUUCCAAAUUGAAGCUUCUCUCUCUACACAACAAGUUCACCGUCGACAGAGCGACUUUCGAUCCAGAUCGGGUCUCUCUCACUGAUGUUCACCGCCCUUCUAUCUUUGAGAUGCGGCUCAGUCAAUCCAGCUCACCUAACCAGCGCGGUCACUGAUUCACCGGUUUAGCGAGCAAUAAUGACCCGCGGAUUAUGGGCCAAUUCCUUUAGUCAAUAUACAUUUCUCAUCAAUUUUCCUUGCGAAUCCCGUUAAAUUAUGAUGAUUCUUCUUAUUUCCUGGUUUUCCAGCAAAUCGCCACUGAACGUGGGUAAUCCCCAGUCAAAUACCGGGCGGCGCAACUUAUUAUCUCAUCGAGGAAAUGAUAGUUCACCGUCGCACCUCACGGUCAUCGAUUACAGGACUACGAAGCCAGAAUCCAGCUACUGUCGAAUUGAAACAUUUAAAACAGGGACUGUGGUGGACAAUGGCUCCUUCUCGUUUGAGAAUACUUGGGAGAUGAUGAGCUAUUUAGGGGUGGAUAGAAACGAUACCAAGCAAUGCUGUUGACACAAGCUGUUGCCAAUACGUCUAAUUACUUUAGCGUUUCAGUUUUGGGGGUUUCUUGACGCGAGCUGCAUCACCGACAGUCGCACCAACGGGCCGCUUGAGGGGGUCUCUAGCAACUGGAGAUUGAUAUGGUUAUGAUUUGCAGCAAUAAUCUACAUGAUCUAAUUUUGGAAGAUCGACACUCGAAGUUUGGUUCUCUGAAUCGAACCCAGCUCUGGGAAAUUCUCAUUCUACAGUCUCCAUCUUAAUCCAUUUGUCGACGCCAGUGCUACAUCUAGAACAGCAGGCGCCGCUGCAGGCAAAGUUGCGGAGAAUUAUUUCUUAGGGACAUUAAGUCCAAUUAUGUGACACUCGAGGGCAGCGCAGGCAGUCAUUUUCAGGGCAGCGCAGAUUCAAGAAGAUUCAAGAGAGCAGCACUGAUGUAUUUGGCCUGGAUUUGGAUCGGGAAUGAACAUCACGAAGCUAAGUUUUUUAAAACAUGGUAUCACCAUUUUAGGAUUAAACCGAGAAAAAAGGAAGAAAGGUUUAGAUGAUUGUAAACUUGUAUAAUCAAGGAUCUCUUGAUAAGUAAUUGAUCCUUGACUCAAUCAUUUCCUUAAAUACUUUAAACGCUUCCCCUCAAGUUGACUGACGGGAUUUCCGACACUCAACUUGGCAAGAACCUCUGAAAAUUUUUUGGAGUUCACAGCCUUGGUUAGGAUAUCA